CUUUGACAAAAGAAGAACAUACUGAAAUCAUUCUCAUGGCUGGAUCAGGAAGCUAUCGCAAGGUUGUGAAAGAGUUUAACAGGAAACAUGGUGUGCUUUACUGGAAAUCUGGAAACACAACAACAAAUCAAACACUGCGAUUCAUCUAAAGCGCCACAGCAAAACCAAGAACGCAUCAGCAAAAGUAAAAACAGAAAAUCAAAAGCCAGCAAAUCAGAUAACACAGCAGCAAGUUGGAUGGAGUAUUACACUUACAGCUUUGUUCACCAGGGAGGACUCCCAAUCCUACACUCAGAUAACACCUUCUCACACCCUUAUGUGGUCACAACCCACACUGUAUUAUCAGCAGACGCCAUAUAGUUCAAGAUGUUCACACUGAUAAGUACUGAAUGUCAAAGACAGCAUAACGACCAUCUCUGGCUUUUUUACAACAAAAUACACAAUUUUACCAUAAUAGUUUGGUCAGUCUUGUGGUUACAAUCAAUAAUUAUUGAGUUCUGUGAAAGUUUUUAACAGAGCCUAGGGUCCAUGUGAUCAAAAUAUGAUGUUGAGAGGUAAUUUUAUGUCCAAGCAGUUUGGUUGGAUGUAAAUUGCUUAUGUAGAACCAUAGUAGUAUGGAUUUUUAGACUAAUGAAUUUCUCAAGUGUAGAAUUAUUAUUUAAAAUCCAAGUUUGCUCUUGCUUCUCCAGCAUUUAGAGAAUUUGAUUGAGAAGUGAUUGUGCAGUGCUAGUAAAGAAAAGUGUUUUUAACCAAUCUGCACUGCGAAUCACACAAGUGAGCUGAACUUCCUAGUUAUUUAAGAGAUUUGAAAACCAUUGGUUUAUUCUACAAAAAAAAUUAUAUAAUAAAAAUGCUGGAAAAUUAGAAGUGACAAUAUGAUGUUUAAUUAUAUAGCAUGUUUAUAAUGCACAAAUAAAUUGGGUCAUUACCGUGGUGUGUGAUGUGAUUUUAGUGUGUUUAGUAUAUUUUUUUUCCUAUUUGUUCUUUUUUUAAAUGAAACAUCAAUCUAUCAAGGUACAGCAGAUGUUGAUAAUACAGAUAUCACUAAUACAGAUGUUGAUUAAUGUGUAUUGUUCCUAAAGGAAGAAAGAAAACUGCUGUUUCUGCACCAUAGCUAAUAGUUAUGAUGGAUUUCAUUGGAACACUUUACCUCUGUCCUAUGUGUUAUUUAAUUAUUCAUCUUUUAUAAGCGAUUAGGAGAGGCUGCUACCACAUCUGGCAGCUCUGCCAGGUGCUCGUGCCCACAGGACGCUCUGGAAUGGAGGAAACCUUCCCCAGCCUGCCAGCUCCACCUGAGGCUUUGGACCUGGUUCAGCACAGAGCCCCAGCCAUAAACAAACUCUCAUUUACCACUUUAAUCGCCAGACCUGGUGUUUUGAGUUUUACAUAAUGGGUUUAAGUAACGCUUCUUGUUUUCUGCACCAUUUAAGUGAAAGCCAAGCAGCGCUCCCAGAGAACGGCAGCAGGCUUAGGCAUGAAUGGAUGUUCUCCACAUUCCUGCCAUUAUGACGAUGCUGCACUUUGGAUGGUGACGAGCGUGAAUCUUUAAGGCUGUGGUAGACCAGAAGGAAGGAGGAGGGAAUGGGAAAGAUGAAUGGCCAGUGCAGCUAAAAGGCAUUUGCUUUUUCUCUGGCCUUCUUUCUCCCAGCUGUUUUUCAUUGCUCCUGUCAGAGAUGUCGUUUGUGUUUGAGGUUGAAGGCUGUGGGGGGGACGGCAGUCUCGCCUCAGCCCUGAUGGCUUUAGCUGCUGCUCCACUAGCUCUCUAGGCAUUGUAAAUGUCCAUCAGGAUAGGCUAUUAAAAGUUGUACAAGUCACUGUUCUUUGUGUUUCGACCACUUGACACAACUCGAUGCAAAGAACGUCAAGCGGAGCCACAUGCUUACGGCUUCUCUGGACAUUACAACUUACAUCAAACAAGGUGAAAGUGGCAGAUGGAAAAACAGGAGCCUAAUAAUGUACAGUAGCUAACCUGGCUUGUUAUGAUAGCUAAUUAACUAUAUUAAUUAACAACAUUAAUAGUCAUUACAUAGUUAAUCCAAUUAUUUGGCACUGUUUGAAAUCUGCACUUAUGCAAAAAGAUUUCUAGGGUCAACAUUGAAAUUAUUUAUUGCAAUUCUUCAGGUAGCCUUUUCUUAUUCACUGUAAUCUUAUAUUUAAAAUUAUAUUAUAAAUAAAUGAAAUUGAUCAACAACCAGUUGGGUGAGAUUUGAUUAUUUGGCAGAGUUGACUAUUUUCCCCAAAAACAGCACAUCCUGAAAUGCUUUAUGUCUCUUAUACCAUGGCAAUCUGCCAA